rnacentral:rRNA from 1 species
GACGAACGCUGGCGGCGUGCUUAACACAUGCAAGUCGAACGGUGAAAGGGAGCUUGCUCCCUGGAUCAGUGGCGAACGGGUGAGUAACACGUGGGCAACCUGCCCCAGACUUCGGGAUAACGCUUCGAAAGGAGUGCUAAUACCGGAUACGAACUCCUUGGGCAUCCUUGGGGUUGGAAAGUUUUUCGGUCUGGGAUGGGCCCGCGGCCUAUCAGCUUGUUGGUGAGGUAACGGCUCACCAAGGCGACGACGGGUAGCCGGCCUGAGAGGGCAACCGGCCACACUGGGACUGAGACACGGCCCAGACUCCUACGGGAGGCAGCAGUGGGGAAUAUUGCGCAAUGGGCGAAGGCCUGACGCAGCAACGCCGCGUGAGGGAUGACGGCCUUCGGGUUGUAAACCUCUUUCAGCAGGGAAGAAGCGAAAGUGACGGUACCUGCAGAAGAAGCACCGGCUAACUACGUGCCAGCAGCCGCAGUAA